GUGCUCGCUUCAACAGCACAUAUGCUAAGACUGGAGAUGAGCAUGGCCCCUGCACAAGGAUGACACAAAAUAAACCACCACUGAUUACACUUUGGU
ensembl:snRNA U6 U6 spliceosomal RNA